AUUUAUUAGAGGGUUAAAUAGACUACAUCUCCUAAAAUGUAAGCAAGAUUUGAUUUACACUUCCGUAAAAUAACUUUUUUGAUUUUCCUUUGUAAUAUGAAGAUUUCUUAUCUAUGACCCUUAGUGCAAUAUUUAUUGACGUGACUUGUUUAUAUGUCAUUUUUUUUUAAAUUUAACGUGAAUUUUAUUUUAGUUUUUUUUUAAAUAUUUAUUUUUUAAUUUUAUUUAAUUUUUUUAUAACGAG
rnacentral:lncRNA from 1 species